GGGAGGAAAUGAAUGCUAAGAGAGUGAGGUGAUUCAUACAGCUGUGAAACUGCAGGUUCCUGAGGACAGGAGCCGCAUCUUUUUCAUCUUUUCAUUCCUUAUGGCACCAAGUGCCUAAUAAACAACAAUAAAAAAAUGAAGAGACAAGAAGUCAAGAGACUUGCCCAAAGAGACCCAGCUAAUGCAGAUGGCAGAGGCAGGAUUCAAGAACAGAUCUUUUCAUUCUAAGUCCAGGACACUCUCCAGUCACCACAGGCUACUGCCUGUGUGUUGAUUUUAUUUUGUGAGUGGGUUGCAUUCAUUUUCAAGGGUGUGUAGGAAUUUAGAAAGCAGAAUAAACCAAAGAGAGCAAGCCA
rnacentral:lncRNA from 10 species